UGAAGCUGUUUUGUUUAGGGGUAGUCAGCCAUUUUAUCUGUUGGGUGGUUUAAGGCGAGGGAAGUUUGGUGAGGAUUUUGUUGAAAUUGCACAGUUAUGCAUCAGCACAUGAAUUUUGUAUGUGCUCCACCCGUUCACCCCGUUCCUUCAGAGCAAAAUGGCCGCUGCAGAUCUUUUCUUAGCUUGCAGAAUAGUAGAGCAUCCAAGAGCUGUGGAAGAUGUGAUAAAGAGAGGACACAGGUGCCUCCACCCAGAGCAGCCUUGGCUCAACACAGCGUCAGAGAUAUACCUGGCACAAGCACAGGAGCUGGCAUUCUGUGAAAAUGUCUUGCUUUGACGUGUCCGUUGACCAUCCGCACGCAGACAUCGUGCACUACUUCCUUCUGGGUCGAGGUCAAAUUUUGGAGAAUUAGACAUCCUCGAAGGAGUUUGCUGCUUGGCGUGCUUUGCGUCAUCCUGUUAUGAACCGAGUUGCAAUGAAACAGAUCUGACUAUGACAUGCGAUAGCUUCAGUGAUGUGGUGUGUUGAAGAGAUUUGAGUAAAAUGGAUCUAGUACAGGUCAUGUUCCAUAGAACAAGUGUCUUUUUAUGACAGCAGAAAUGGCAACGCCACACCACACCAUCAUUUGUGCGGUACAUGUGGUUGUUUGCGGACGGCUUCUUUCUCCAAGUGAUACUUGCUUGUCUGCCUCAGCUUGCUUGUAGCUAAUCUUUGAGUCUGCCUGACUGCCUUCGUACUUCGCCAUCCAUGCAGCUGGCAUUAUGCUUACCUAGUAUGCAUGGGGUUUCCAUUGGCCAAAGAUAUAGAAAUGCUCACUAUUUCCUUAGCAUGAAACUCUUCACUUUGUAAUGUAAGAUAAGAAAAUGUGAUGUAGUUGAUUUAAUUUGUAAUGUAAUUUUGUGACUGUUUAAUAGUGUUUGACAUACAUAUUUGAUUAACAGUGCUCUCUCAUAAUUAGGGUAAUUAAUAUUUGUCGUUCUUAUGAUUUAGUUGUGCUUCAAGACAUAUUUCUGUGAAGCUAGUCAGUUUCCAUGUCCUUCAGGCCAUAGUCUGGAGACUAAGAUAGCGUGGAAUGUUGCUGAUUGUGGUAUCACUGUGUCACCCUCAAUAGAAGUCAGCGGCAAUGUAACAGUUCAGACUGAGUGAGGAGGCAAAAGUCAGUGGAAUGUGGAGAAGUGUGUUAGUGAAAACUGAUCUACUCCUGGGUAUGUUACCGAGACGUAUGUAGCCUAGUGACAGUGGAAAUGAUACCACCUACCACCACACCAUACCACCAUUUACGAGGUGACAUGUACACCAGCAUUCCCUUCUGUGGAGUUAUCUUAAUUGUUCUGUUAAUUUAUACAUAAUAUCAACGUGUUACAUGUUGAAUUUUAGGUAACAUAUCUUAGUUAUGUAAACGGUUUUUUCCUUCAGGUGAAAAUAGCAUGAUGAAUCUCACAUGUCUGCAUCUGCUUGCCUUCGUAUUGAUGACUGUCUGCAUGCAUAUUCUUCAGCAUGUAUAAACCUGCUUGUGUGUCUCAGCCAACAUUCCAGCUGGCAUUGCUCUUAACCAGAAUGCGUAUGGCUUACAUUGGCAUGAGGAGGUGGAAAACACAAAGAAUUAACUUAAUAUUAAUAUUUCAGUUAAUGACAUGACAUAUAAGAAUACGUGAUCAAAUUGACUCGAGUUACGUGGGGCAAUCCAAGUUUCCAAAAUUUGAAUUUUGCGCGCUAAUGGUUAUGAGUACAUCAAAA